UACGGAGGGAGCUAGCGUUGUUCGGAAUUAUUGGGCCUAAAGCAUCCGUAGCCGGUUCUACAAGUCUUCCGUUAAAUCCAGCUGCUUAACAGAUGGGCUGCGGAAGAUACUAUGGAGCUAGGAGGCGGGAGAGGCAAGCGGUACUCGAUGGGUAGGGGUAAAAUCCGUUGAUCCAUUGAAGACCACCAGUGGCGAAGGCGGCUUGCCAGAACGCGCUCGACGGUGAGGGAUGAAAGCUGGGGGAGCAAACCGG
rnacentral:rRNA from 1 species